rnacentral:rRNA from 1 species
UACAAAGGUCCCGAGCGUUGUUCGGAUUCACUGGGCGUAAAGGGUGCGUAGGCGGUCGGGUAAGUCUGAUGUGAAAUCUCACAGCUUAACUGUGAAACUGCAUUGGAUACUAUCCGGCUCGAGGAAUGGAGGGGAGACUGGAAUACUUGGUGUAGCAGUGAAAUGCGUAGAUAUCAAGUGGAACACCAGUGGCGAAGGCGAGUCUCUGGACAUUUCCUGACGCUGAGGCACGAAAGCCAGGGGAGCAAACGGG